rnacentral:rRNA from 1 species
AAUAUUGCACAAUGGGGGAAACCCUGAUGCAGCAACGCCGCGUGAGUGAUGAAGGCUCUAGGGUCGUAAAGCUCUGUCGUGUGGGAAGAAAAAAAUGACGGUACCCUCAAAGGAAGCACCGGCUAACUCUGUGCCAGCAGCCGCGGUAAUACAGAGGGUGCGAGCGUUGUUCGGAAUCACUGGGCGUAAAGCGCGCGCAGGCGGUCCUGCAAGUCUGAAGUGAAAUCUCGUCGCUCAACGACGGGGCUGCUUUGGAAACUGCGGGUCUGGAGAUCGGUAGAGGCUGGUAGAAUUGCAGGUGUAGCGGUGGAAUGCGUAGAGAUCUGCAAGAAUACCCGUGGCGAAGGCGGCCAGCUGGGCCGAAUCUGACGCUGAGGCGCGAAAGCGUGGGGAGC